rnacentral:lncRNA from 1 species
UGGGUAAAGUUUAGGUAUAAAAGGAAAUAUUUUAAUGAAAUUGUGUAUUAAUGAUUUUUAAUUGUUUAAUUACGUAGCUAAUGUCGUGUACGAGUCAUUGUCCGAGAAAGGAAAGGAGAAAGUGGACAAGGAGUGACUCGAGAGAAAUUACAGUUAGUAUUACUAUAAUUCGAAUUUAAUUAUUAAUCGUUGAAAAUUAAAUUAAUAUACACGAUAAGCAAAUUGAGGUGAGUUUCAUAAUUGAAUUGAAUA